CCUAAAAUAAAUACUGAAAAUCCGUGUCCAAUAUUUAACCGUCCGUCUUAUUUAAAAAAUUUAUAAAAUUUUUUUAAAAAAUUAGUUACACAUAAAGUACUAUUCAUGUUUUACCAUCUAAUAACAAUAAAAAUAGUAAUCAUACAAAAUUUUCAAAUAAGACGAACGGUCAAACGUUGAAGAUGAACAGUGCAAAACUGCACUUAUU
rfam:Oryza sativa Japonica Group DNA, chromosome 9, cultivar: Nipponbare, complete sequence.